UCCAGUGCACCAAUGAGGCGGUGCCUGCUUCCUGCUGUGAAGUGGGAUGAGCACACCUUGCGAGUCCAUGGUCUCCAGGACCCAGUGCACAUCCUCUGCUGGCGUGGCAGGUCGCUGCUCCCUUGCUGCCACGUCUUCUUCAUGUACCAAGGCCUGUCCCAACAGAGGCCAAAGGGGUUUGUCUUUUCUGAAAACUCACCUCUGCCCCUUCUUCUGUAGCCACACUAGAGGCUGCUCCGUGGGCCAUACAAAGGUGACUCUGGCCAUAAAGAGCAGAAAGUACAAGCCUACCUGUGGGCUGGCUUCCCCAGCUUUUCUGUGUAAGCGUGGCCCUUUGCAAGGCAGACUUGGCCCUGGGAUGUGAGGUGCAGCAUCCUGGAUGGGGUGGAUGGAGAUGCUGUUCUCCUCUGGUGUCAGUUUGUGACAUGUCCCAUCAACUCUGCAAGAUCCAGCUGAGCCUUCAAUUUGAACCAGUGACCGUCUGGAGACAGAACAGGGGCAAGAACAGACUGUGCUGGGAGAGAGUGAACCUAAAGUUCAGAUUUGUUCCUUGAAGCAAAAGUAAAGGACAAACCCCCAUAGCGAGCGCCGAGCCUGUACCUCUCCUUACAGCCAGUUCAUGAGCAGCCACUGGGAGCCAAGUGGGUUUCUUCCACCAGUAUUAACUAUAUAUCUAGUUAAGUACGUUGAUGACAUUUUCUUUCUGAAAAUCAUUAUGAAGUAGUGUUCAAAGUCAGCGCAGCUCAGCAGUAAAACCUCACUCGAAUGCUUGAAGACAAUUGGUUUUGCUUUUUUUGGUACAAACAUUUUGUAAGCUUCUUUUGUUGGGCUAUGUUUAUAUUCCUCUACCUCACAGAUUGGCCCCUUGUGCCAUACAAAGCCCCUUAAAUACUUUAAGUCAUUAUCACACAUUGGCCUUCCAUAGCCAAGUAUACACAGGUGAUGUGUUUAUACUGAGGGUCGCCUCAAGAUCUCCUGAUGAUGCCAAGGGCAGGCUUGAGCCCAGCCUCCUAGGCUGCUAGAGCGGAUGGUCCCCACGCUGACCCCUGUGCAUGGACUCUGCUCUCCAGACUCUCCUCUCUGGCAAGGCGUCGCUGGCUUUGGGGCAGCUGACUGCAGGUACUAAUGUCCCUCUGGCUGUCC
rnacentral:lncRNA from 1 species